rnacentral:rRNA from 1 species
AAUGAACGUUGGCGGCGUGGAUUAGGCAUGCAAGUCGAGCGCGAACCUCGCAAGAGGUAAGAGCGGCGAAAGGGAGAGUAACGCGUGGGUAUCUACCCUCGGGACUGGGAUAGCUGCGGGAAACUGCAGGUAAUACCAGAUGACGUCCCCGGACCAAAGGUGUGAUUCCGCCUGAGGAUGAGCCCGCGUCCUAUUAGCUUGUUGGUGGGGUAAUGGCCUACCAAGGCAAUGAUGGGUACUGGGUGUGAGAGCACGACCCAGCUCACUGGGACUGAGACACUGCCCAGACACCUACGGGAGGCAG